rnacentral:tRNA from 1 species
GGGGGUAGAGUUCAUGCUUAGCAUGCACGAGGUCCUGGGUUCAAGUCCCAGUACCCCCA